rnacentral:rRNA from 1 species
GACAGAGGGUGCAAACGUUUGUUCGGAAUUACUGGGCGUAAAGCGCGUGUAGGCGGCCCUGUAAGUCGGGUGUGAAAUCCCACGGCUCAACCGUGGAAGUGCAUUCGAAACUACAGGGCUAGAGUUCUGGAGAGGAAGGUGGAAUGCUUGGUGUAGAGGUGAAAUUCGUAGAUAUCAAGCGGAACACCGGUGGCGAAGGCGGCCUUCUGGACAGUAACUGACGCUGAGACGCGAAAGCUAGGGGAGCGAACGGG